GAUUGGAAGUGUGACAUUCAGAGGCGGCGGAGGAAAGCUCCUCGCCCCCUCCCUGUCUCGGAGGAGGGGGGUGGCGGCGGUGCCGGGGUGCUGCGUGGCUCCGCGCCCCGCUAACUGUGUGCGUGUCUGUCUCUCUCCAUGCCGGGGGAUCGCUCUUAAAAUACGCCUGAUACAAUGCACCAGCCUGACUCAGCCGCAGACAUUAGUGCUAGGAAGAUGGCGCACCCGGCAAUGUUUCCUAGAAGGGGCAGCAGCAGUAGCAGCGGCAGCAGCUGCGUUACUGCUCCCACUGCACCAGGUACCGGCGUUGGGAGCGCUGCCCUCUCCGCCGAGGAUUACCAGCCGCCCCUGCUGGUCCAGCCGCCGCCUCCAUCUCCUGCAGCAUCCUCAUCGGCGGGCCUGCAGCCGACACCCCCUCCUCCACAAAGCCUGAACCUCCUCUCGCAGUCUCAGCUCCAGCCGCAGCCUCUCGCGCAGACCGGAGCACAGAUGAAAAAGAAAAGUGGCUUCCAGAUUACCAGCGUGACCCCUGCUCAAAUAUCUGCCAGUAUGAGCUCUAAUAACAGCAUAGCUGAAGAUACGGAAAGCUACGAUGACCUGGAUGAGUCUCACACGGAAGACCUGUCUUCUUCAGAAAUCUUGGAUGUUUCUUUAUCCAGGGCCACUGACUUGGGUGAACCUGAGAGGAGCUCUUCUGAAGAGACUUUAAAUAACUUCCAAGAGGCAGAGACUCCCGGGGCCGUUUCUCCAAACCAGCCUCAUCUUCCUCAGCAGCACCCUUCUCUGCCUCAUCAUCCGCAGCAGAGCGUUGUGAUCAACGGAAGUGUUCACCCCCAUCACGUCCAUCACCACCAUCAUCUUCACCACCACCAUCAUGGACACCAUCACCCAUCGCAUCCCGGGGUGGGCAGCGCCCCAGUUUCUGGAGGACCACCACCCAGCCCAUCGUUUAGAAAGCUAUCGACAACUGGAAGCUCUGACAAUGUUAUAUCAGCUGCGCCAGGUUCUGCUGCAUCAUCCACCGGUCCCCCUGCAUCUGUCGUGUCUAAUAUCCGCACUACAAGUACACCUGGCAGUCUAGGUGUAAGUUCUGCUACUGGAACUAGUACCUUGAAUAAUAUGGGCGGAGGUAGUUCUAGUGUGGCAAGCAGCGUGCUUGGUACUAUGAAUUUAAGCAACAUCACAAGUACUGGUAAUGUAAAUGCUUUGUCUGGAACUAGUGGCAAUGUUAAUGUGAAUAUCUUGAGUGGUGUUGGCAAUGGUACGAGUGCUUCCUCUAGUGUCGUUAACAAUGUUACUAAUCCGAGUGCAGGAGUGGCCGCGGGAUCCAGCCAACAGCAGCCCGCAUCUGGCACCUCAAGGUUUAGGGUUGUAAAAUUAGAUUCUAGUUCUGAACCUUUCAAAAAAGGUAGAUGGACAUGCACUGAGUUCUAUGAUAAAGAAAACACUGUUGCAGCUUCAGAAGGAGUAGCAGUAAACAAAGCAGUAGAGACGAUAAAACAAAACCCGCUUGAAGCGACUUCUGAAAGGGAGAGCACCAGUGGGAGUUCUGUUAGCAGCAAUGUAAGCACACUGAGUCACUAUACAGAAAGUGUGGGAAGUGGAGAAAUGGGAGCACCUACUGUGGUACAGCAGCAAGCCUUUCAAGGUGUGGGUCCUCAGCAGAUGGAUUUUAGCAGCGCUGCUCCUCCAGCAAUUCCAGCAUCUAGUAUACCACAGAGUGUUUCCCAAUCACAGCUUGCACAAGUCCAGCUGCAUUCUCAAGAGAUAAACUAUCCGCAGCAGAAGCCAGGGGUCCAACCUCCUGCACAGGCCAGUCUAACCACUGUUACUGGGGUUCAGCCAGCCCCGGUUAAUCUACUAGGUGUAUCCCCAGCUCUGGGCCACCAGCAGCCUGCCAUUCAAAGUAUGGCUCAACAGCAGUUACCUUAUUCUCAGCCGGCGCAGCCUGUGCAGACUCUGCCAGUUGUACAACAGCAGCAGUUGCAGUACGGACAGCAGCAGCAGCAGCAGCCAGCGGUUCCUACGCAGAUGGCCACAGGUCACGUUAAGUCGGUGAACCAAAACGCUGUCACGGGGGCUGUGCCAGAGUAUAUUCAGCAUCAGCAGAUCCUUCAGCCCCCGGCACCUGCUAUGCAGCCCAGUCCUGCAGGAGUAGGGGCAGGGCCGCCGGUUCCUGUUGCCCAGGUCCCGAGCAUGCAGUCUGCGGUCCCGGCGCACCCAGCCGCUGCCCCGGCUCAGCCUGCUGCGCACGCCCCGGCAGCGAUACCAGGUGUGGGUACCAGUGGGCAGAUGUUGAGCGUUGGGCAGCAAGCAAAUGUGGCCACUGUGGUGCAACCACCACCUGCUGCAAACCAAAUUCCACCUCCAGUUAUGCCAUCAACCGCUGCUCCUCCAUCUUCGCAAGUGGUGCAGCCUGUGCAGACAGGAAUAAUGCAGCAGGGAUUACAGGCUAGCGCUUCAGGCCUUCCUCAGCAAAUGGUUAUUGCUCAGCAAAACACUUUGUUACCUGUACAGCCGCAGGCACAAGCGGUGGAAUCAGUGGUGCAAGGAAUGACUGGCCAGCAGCUGCCUGCAGUUAGCCCCAUACCUUCUGCUAGUACUGUUGCUGCACCGAGUCAAGCUGGUUCGGCUGUGCCCCCUGGCAUACCUUCUGCUUCUAUAGGUUUGGGACAGCCACAGAGCAUAGCCCAGGCUUCAGCUGUGCAGAAUGGGAAUCUGGCUCAGAACGUUAGUCAGCCUCCUUUGGUAUCAACAAGUAUAGGUAUGCCGGUGGCACCCAGCGUGCCACAGCAGAUACCGCUGAGCUCUACCCAGUUCCCAGCACAAUCACUAGCCCAGCCAGUUGUAAGCCAAAUGGAAGAUGGCAGGCGCCCUACAGAACCUUCCCUCGUUGGUUUACCUCAAGCUGCCAGCGGGGAGAGCGGCGUUGGAGCGUCGGCCAUCGCUGAUGGCAGUAGCAGUAACGUGCCAGCCUCGGCCUCCCUCUUCCCACUGAAGGUGCUGCCCUUGGCGACGCCCCUCGUAGAUGGGGAAGAUGAGAGCUGCCCACAAAAGUAAAGAACCAGUGUGAAAGUUUGAAGAAAGAAACCACUCAGAGGACUGAGUUUCAAGCAAAAGCUCCAGGUUGCAGACUCAGAAAGAAACUUCCUUUGGGGAAGGAUCUGCUUCCAGGAUUUGCUCGUCUCUUUUUCCUUGGGCAAACAGAGUUCUUGAAGCAAACAACAGGGUUGCAGGACACCUUGUAACCUUUAUACUGCUUCACAAGCCUUCGGCAGAAGAUUAUGAGAGCCAUUUAUGUUGCUGGAAGAUGACUGGGUUUGGAUCUUGGCCUUCCUUAAGCAGGAUCUCCUGACAAAAAUGGGAUUGGGAAAGAAAUGACUCCUUUUUCCAUCAUACAGAGCCACCCUAGAAAUGGAAGCGUAGGCAGAAUGUUUCUUCUAAUACGUGAUUCUGUAGGGCGUGCGUUUGGCUUCCCAUGGUCCUUUUGAUACGACAUCAUAAAGAUGUUUUUAUAAAAACCUAAAGCUGGCAUCUUGCUAUCUGAUGAAGAUCAAAUGGGUAAAUCCAACCUGAGAAGUUUACAAGUCUCAUAACGUGAUGAGAUCUUGCUAAAUUCUGUAUAGGAGAUGCCAUGUGAAACUGGGUUCUGCUGUGGUUCAGAUUGGUAUGUUUGUAAAGCCUUUUCUACUUACGGUCUAAUGAUUGCAAAGCAUAUUGAUGAGGAAUUAUGGAAAUUGUAUUGAAUUAGGCUUCUACCUCUUCAAUUUUAUUUUUUUUUUUAAAAAAAAAAAGGACAAAUGUCCACGGCUGUAUAAAAAGCAUUGGGUCUUUUGAGGUUCUGUGUUACUUCUGUAGAAAAAAGGUAUAUUGGAAGUGCUGAAAGUGGAAAAACAUAGAUUUUUCUUCAAGAUGGAAAAGUUGUUAGAAAGCAGAAUGCUUUAAUUUUUUUCCCUCAGGGAUUCUGUAGUCAAACUUGAAUGUCUUGCGAGAUCUCAAAUAAAAACCUUAUGUUUGGCAGUAGUGUACGACACAUUCGUGUGUGUCUACUCUUGUUCUUUUCACUGUAGGAAAUUAAUUUUGAACAAUAGGACAUUUUAACGUUCUAACUAGGAAAGAGGAAAGCUUUGUUCUGACUCCGGAGUUGAAGAAGGGCUGGCAGGUAAAGAGCUCUUCUAUUUUUCUGUUUUCUGCUUCUGGCAGUUGGAGUAAAGUAGACACUUGUGCUUGAAUCCAAUUAAUUUCUUACAUCGGUUACUGUGCUAACACUGUUUUUAACUACUGCCUGGAUCUUUCAUUAAAUGCACCAGCGUGCUUACAUUGUUGAGUGGUCUUAACGUAGCCCUGAGGCUGCUGCUUCAUGGCAGUUGUGACUUCUUAAUAUGCUGGAAUGCAUCGCAGCUUUAGUACAUUCUAAAAAUAAUUGUUCAGAUGGUGCUGUUUAAGUACAUUCUUAUGUAGUGAGCCAUUUUCACUGGACUUUCUGAAAUUUGGCUGUCAGUUGGAUGCCUUUAAUAUCUUUAUUUCUUUUUCCAUGAAUAUCAGAGUACUUUGUCUUGCUUCUUCUGUGGUUAUCAAGAGAAAUGCUAAAUUUAUGACCUGAUGUUAUUAGGAAACAGUCUGAUACAUAUGUUAAACUAUGCAACUGCAGGAACACUUGUGCACUUUGAAGUUUAAAGGAACUGUUUUCAUGUGACAAAUGUUUCUUACAGGAAAAAAAAAAGUGGAAGUGUGUGUGUAUGCAUAUGGUGACUUCAAAAUGGAGCAGUUGUCAUAGGUACAGAUCUUUGGGCAUAAACUGCGUGCUUAACAGGAGCAAUCUGGAGGUUGUAAGCUGAAGAUCUGUGAGUCUUAGAAAUAAAUACUAACAUCUGUGGCUUGAGAUCUGUGCCAGCACUUCUCUUAGUUGAAAAUACCUGUGCGUUUCUGGCUUCUAGUCUGCUGAAGGUUUGGUAUGGUUUGUGCCUUCCUUAAAAGGUGCAUCUCCUCAGCCGCAGUUCUUGGUCGUUUUGUUCUGCAGUGUAACACAAAUUUAAGACCAUUAAACACUUGUGAAAACUGAAUACUUCUAGUAAAAUAACAGAGGUACUGAGAGCUUACUAAUGUUAUUGUCCCAAUCCCUGUCUCUAGGGAAACAAAAUGAUUUCACUCAUCCCCCUCCCUUCCAUAGUAACAAUUAAAGAACAAGAAAGAAAAAAAGGGACAACAACCACCAAAAGAUCCAACCAAAAACCACACACAGAGAAAACUCUCCAAAAUCUGUUGUUUUUAUUAAGUCAGCAUUUUAAUCCUACUUGUGUAUCAGCGUUGUUAGCGUACCACUGUUGUGCUCUGGGCUUUGCAGCUGGCAUCUUGGAUUCUUAAUAAGUUGUUUAGAGUGAUAACUCCUGCCUUUGUGUUUAUUAAAUAAUAAAGAUGUCUAAAACCACUUUCUUCUUGUUUAUAUUGUAC